rnacentral:sRNA from 1 species
UGGAAAAAACAUAAAUGCAAACAAUGAUGGGUAUAUGUAUCUUGAAAAACCAGUUGUUGAUGUUGUUGUUGUUGUGGGUACAUGUUGGUAGUGUCUU